UACGGAGGGCGCAAGCGUUGUUCGGAAUCAUUGGGCGUAAAGCGCGUGUAGGCGGCUUGGCAAGUCGGGUGUGAAAUCCCGGGGCUCAACCCCGGAACUGCAUUCGAUACUGUCUCGCUAGAGUCCCGGAGAGGAAGGCGGAAGUCCCGGUGUAGAGGUGAAAUUCGUAGAUAUCGGGAGGAACACCAGUGGCGAAGGCGGCCUUCUGGACGGUGACUGACGCUGAGAUGCGAAAGCGUGGGGAGCAAUCAGG
rnacentral:rRNA from 1 species